UGAAAGAAGAAAAAGAAUGACAACUGUUAACCCGAGGUAUGUGCUGAAGAACUGGAUGGCAGAAUCCGCAGUGCAGAAGGCAGAACAGAAUGAUUUCUCAGAGGUCCAUCUUCUACAGCAAGUUCUUCGGCAUCCUUUCCAGAAGCAUUCUGCAGCCGAGAAAGCAGGUUACGCUUCACCUACUCCUUCUUGGGCUAAAGAUCUCAGAGUUAGUUGCUCAUCUUAAUUUGGGAAAAAUAAUUUAAGGAAUACUUCU